rnacentral:rRNA from 1 species
AACGAACGCUGGCGGCAUGCCUAACACAUGCAAGUCGAACGAGACCUUCGGGUCUAGUGGCGCACGGGUGCGUAACGCGUGGGAAUCUGCCCUUGGGUCUGGAAUAACAGUUAGAAAUGACUGCUAAUACCGGAUGAUGACUUCGGUCCAAAGAUUUAUCGCCCAGGGAUGAGCCCGCGUCGGAUUAGCUUGUUGGUGAGGUAAAAGCUCACCAAGGCGACGAUCCGUAGCUGGUCUGAGAGGAUGAUCAGCCACACUGGGACUGAGACACGGCCCAGACUCCUACGGGAGGCAGCAGUGGGGAAUAUUGGACAAUGGGCGAAAGCCUGAUCCAGCAAUGCCGCGUGAGUGAUGAAGGCCUUAGGGUUGUAAAGCUCUUUUACCCGGGAAGAUAAUGACUGUACCGGGAGAAUAAGCCCCGGCUAACUCCGUGCCAGCCGCCGCAGUAACAC